UCAAGUAUAAAUAAAUCAUUAGUCCAGCACAUGUAAUUACAGAGAGAGUCAAUCAUAAUUUCUUUGGCCAAGAAAUAGCACAUGACUGUGAAAUUAGAGUUAUUAGUGCAUUCAUCUGUAUUGGAAAACAACCUUUACAUUAGAUUUGAUUGAAUCAGGAGCCCAGUACAUAAAAUACAUUCUGAUCCUGAAAUACUGAAUUGAGAAGCCACUGAAACAUACUGAUGUGAAGAAUAUAUUGAAUGACAAAGCUGUAAUCCUUUCUUUUACAGAUAUGUUCAACUGUAUGAUUAUCUUAACACAAAUGGAAUGGACAAGCAUGGGUUUCUUAUGACUACAGAGUGAGGAGUGCCACCCUGGUGAUGUCUUCUAAGUUUCCCUUCUCAGCACCAUCUGAGGGUUAAGCUCUUGAAGGAUUACAGCAGCAUGGACAGUUUCAGAGAGAGAGAAGAUUAUCUUGAAGAUAUUCUUUCUGAAGGUGUUACACAGAUCCUUAGUCAAGUGUUUCUUUAGAAAUAUGUGAUAGAGAUCAUCAAGAAUUCCAUUUAAGAGUUUCUAGGUGAAACCAUCUCCUCCAGUUUCAGACACUUAUGGGUCAUUGUCAUCAUCACCACAUUUGCACUGAAGAGCCGUCAACACUCUAUUUUCAAGCACAUGAGCUUUUAAGAAGCCUGUGUCCCCAGAUAAAUCUGAAAGAGAACUUGGUAACUAUGAUAUCGAUUGGGAUAUGAUGAGUUCACAGUAUUUCAACUUCUUCCACAGUUAUUUCACAAAAACAGGUAAGUUAUAAAAAAAUGUUAUUUUUCUCCAUUGUGAAUCUGGUGUAAAAUAAGAGGCUACCAGAUAACAAUUCAGUAAAAGAAACGUAAGAGCCAGACAAUCCUACAUCAUUUGAUAUUAACAAUGAUUAGCAUGUUUUUACAGAUGCUAUGUUAAGCACUUCACCUGUGAUUAGUCCCCACUCCUUAUUAUGAGCCAGGAAAAAAAUCACUGAUUUUCUCCGGUCAGAAAUAAGGGCUAGGAAAGUGAAACAGCUUGUACAACUUCACACAACAAUCGGAGUGGUAAAUGUUCAGGUCAAGGCUCUUAACUACUACCAUAAUCUCCCUUCCCUAGUCUAAGAAUUCAUAUUUUUGUUGUUUUUAAUAAGCACAAACCACUUUGCAUUUCCCCAAAAUAUUAGGUGCGCAGUGUUAGGAUUGGUGGCGCUCUUCCGACAAAGUCACGUGGGAAAGGGAUACUGUCAAUGCCACUCUGCAGAGGUAGCAGGAAGCACUGCUUGCCACCAGCCACAGGAGCUCUCUCACUCUUAGAAAUGUUGUGGAGCUGCACAGAGGAAGAAUAUCAGUGUCAACAGAUGUGGUGAUCUACCAGUAGGACUCUUGGAACCCGUAACAAUGCAUAUGGAUCUCUUGGGUGGCCUUUUCUCCUGUCUCUGUGAAGCCAUUUCACAUCCUAGGCAAAAUUACAGACAAUGUUAACUGUUAUUUUCUAACUAAAAUUAUGUGGGUUGUUGGACAUUGAAUUUCGAUUGUAGUUUACCCACACUUCACUUUGGCCCCCGCACUGUACCUACUGUGAUAUUUUCUUUCUCAUGUUGAGUCCAGCCUGCAUUGCCUCCUUCAUAGUAAAAUCAGAGUUAAGGGGAGAAAUUAGUGAAUGUGCAACUGGGUCACAGCUUUAAACCUCAAGAAUUCAUACAAAUAAAUCACGCUGUUCUUCUAAGUUAAACUUUGUCUAAGUCUGUUGAUCCUCCAAAAUAACUUUCUAGACAAAAAAAAAUCCACUUUUGUCCUUAGGAAAAUUUUCUAAGCAGGUUCAUUGGUACUGCAGUGCUUACUGACACUGCAAAGGCAGUAGGUGCCAAGGUAUAUUUUAUAUAUCUAGCAUGAAUAUACCAAUCUAUUGAAUAGUUCCUAUUUCAGUUUGUAGUAGUCAUUGGGUAAAUAUUAGGUCAAUGUCUUA